rnacentral:rRNA from 1 species
UGGGGAAUAUUGCACAAUGGGCGCAAGCCUGAUGCAGCCAUGCCGCGUGUAUGAAGAAGGCCUUCGGGUUGUAAAGUACUUUCAGUCGGGAGGAAGGUGUCAAGGUUAAUAACCUUGGCAAUUGACGUUACCGACAGAAGAAGCACCGGCUAACUCCGUGCCAGCAGCCGCGGUAAUACGGAGGGUGCAAGCGUUAAUCGGAAUUACUGGGCGUAAAGCGCACGCAGGCGGUUGAUUGAGUCAGAUGUGAAAUCCCCGGGCUUAACCCGGGAAUUGCAUCUGAUACUGGUCAGCUAGAGUGUUGUAGAGGGGGGUAGAAUUCCAUGUGUGGCGGUGAAAUGCGUGGAGAUGUGGAGGAAUACCGGUGGCGAGGGCGGCCCCCUGGACAAAGACUGACGCUCAGGUGCGAAAGCGUGGGGAGCAAACGGG